UGGAAAAACACCAUCAACUUAGAGAAGUUGGCGGAUGUCAGCAGAAUCUGGACUGGCAGCAAGACCUUUCUGACGCCCCAGCUGGAGAGGAGGAGACAUCAAGGCCAACGUCUGUUGAGCUUCUUUCUGAACAUCAACUUCGUUCUUCUUUUGUUUCAGCUCUAGCUGGGUGAGAUCAAUUACAGCAGGUGACAAAGACAAGGAGACAGAAACACGGAGGCAGAGAGGAAGGAAAAGAGGACAACAUCGCUUGGCAUUGGCUGUAUUUCCAGCCCUGCAAUCUGCAACAGGGAGAACCAUUCCCACAGCAAUGGAGUCAUGUGGCAGAGCGGUGAGCAGCACACUUGCCAUCUACUUGGUUCUGCAUCUGGGUCUGAUCCCCAUUAUGGCUCAGCGAAACUACCUACAGACUGGGGUUGCAGGAGGGGCGGUGAUCCUGCAGUGCAGAGGCAUUCCUCAUGACACAGGCGUGACCUGGAAGUACUAUAAGAUUACUGUAAGGUUGUUUAAAACUACAGCUUUGAAAGGCAAAGCUACCAUGACUGAGAGAUCUGAGAUCACCAAAAAUAAACACCUGAAGGUGUGGGACUUAAGGCUGUCCGAUGCUGGCAUCUACACCUGUGAAUAUGGCUCUCAAACAGUCAGUAUCUCACUGCAUGUCUUUAAAUUGACAAUCUCUUCAGAUGGACACUUUCUGCCAAAUGAAGUCCCCGAACUGACUAUAAUGCAAAAUUCAUCCCAUCCUCUACCCAAUCUCAUCAUCAAAUUGUUUAACAGUAAUGAUAAAACAGUGCAAACAAAAUUCUUACAAAACGAGACACCUGAAAAAUACGUACUGAAGUUAAAGGAACUGGAGGCUAUGGACAACGGGACCUGGACAUGUCAUGUCCAUUCAAGCUCUCCAUUGAUUAAUCAGAACAUCUCCUUUGAUGUGAAGGUAUUAGGUUUUCAGAACCCAGAUUGGGAAAGAAAAUAUGCAACUGUUGACAGCACUGUCAUCUUGUCAUGGCAUCUGAACUUCCAGAAGAUAAAAUGGAAAGGAGGUUUCGCAGGACAACUGAGUUGGAAACAACAGGAAAGUGCAGCCAGUCAUCAGUUACUUGAUUUCAACAUCACAGCACGAGGAGAGAAGCAUGAGACCAAAAAAAGCAACCACUUUUGGUUUGAGAUACUUGAAAGCAAACCUGAAAGUACUGUAGGAGUGAAACUCCCCAAAGUCCAUUUCAACCACUCUGGACAGUAUGAGUGCCAGCUGGCGUACAAAGGAAGAUACACACAGAGCAAGAUAGAGCUGGUGGUGAUGAAAGUCUCAGCUAACCCAGUUGGGCCCCUCCCUAGAGGGUCCAAGAUGACCCUGAUCUGCCAGGUCUCUAGUCCACUCCCACCCAAUGCCCACUUGCGCUGGGAACGUGUGAAUGGUACUCAGAUGGACAUCAAGAACUCAAAUCACCAUGAAGUAAAGGUAGAGGUGAACGUCAGUGCUGCAGGGUUGUGGAACUGUCACCUCAUGGAAGACAAUGACAGGAAGAUCAGCCUUAAUUACCUCGUGGAGGAAGCUCCUGUUUGGAUCACCUAUGUGGCAAUCGCAGCAAGUAUUGCAGGCAGUGUAUUGGUGUUUGGCUUUGCGUGCCUAUGCAUCAUUGGUGGUAUAAGCUGGCAAAGGAGGAGGGUGAGUGCCCUGGUCCCUACGAAAGGCAAAAAGAUGACAGUCCCCCCAAACUAUAGGAGUCAUCUGAUUUUAUGUCUGAGUGCAUGACAGAACAGAUAAAGUGUCAACCCUUAGAAUCAAAGCAAAUGGUUUGAGAUGGGCAGUCUGCAAACGUCAGACAGUACUUUGCCAUCACUUCAGAGGAAAGCAUUUGAAGCAUAAAAAUAUCCAAUCGUUGUCUAUUCCUUCUCUCCUGGCAGCAAAGGGCAAGAAGGAUGGCACGAGCAAGACAAUACUUGCUGGAAAACAAGACAUGUCAGUGUCGACACCGGCUGAAUAAGUAGUAUUGCCACACUGGGGUCACAAGGACUGAUAAAGUCUCUGCCUGUAUCUGAACACCUGCCAACCCAUAGUGCUCUGUGAAUCCACCUCCCUUUCUCCUGUUUUGAUGUCAUUCUUUAUCUCUUCAUUAUUCUCCCAGUCUAAUGCCAUGAAGGGAUGUUGUCUGGCUGGGAGCUGAUGGACAAGACAAAAAACCCUUAGGGGUUAUGAUUGAUUGCCAGUUCCAUAAUGAGAGACACUGAAUAGAAGAUACGCACAGACACACAUACAUACAUGCUUGUAUUUUGCUCAUGCACUUACUUUGACCUUCUUGUGGAGCCAAUUUUAUGCACUUCUUUUAUACA